rnacentral:rRNA from 1 species
CGGACGGGUGAGUAAUGUCUGGGAAACUACCUGAUGGAGGGGGAUAACUACUGGAAACGGUAGCUAAUACCGCAUAACGUCGCAAGACCAAAGAGGGGGACCUUCGGGCCUCUUGCCAUCGGAUGUGCCCAGAUGGGAUUAGCUAGUAGGUGGGGUAACGGCUCACCUAGGCGACGAUCCCUAGCUGGUCUGAGAGGAUGACCAGCCACACUGGAACUGAGACACGGUCCAG